rnacentral:rRNA from 1 species
UACAGAGGUGGCAAGCGUUGUUCGGAAUUACUGGGCGUAAAGGGCGCGUAGGCGGCCAUCUAAGUCAGACGUGAAAUCCCCCGGCUUAACCUGGGAACUGCGUCUGAUACUGGACGGCUAGAGUAUGGGAGAGGUAAGCGGAAUUCCUGGUGUAGCGGUGAAAUGCGUAGAUAUCAGGAGGAACACCUGCGGUGUAGACGGCUUACUGGACCAUCACUGACGCUGAGGCACGAAAGCGUGGGUAGCAAACAGG